UACGAAGGGGGCUAGCGUUGCUCGGAAUCACUGGGCGUAAAGGGCGCGUAGGCGGCGUUUUAAGUCGGGGGUGAAAGCCUGUGGCUCAACCACAGAAUGGCCUCGAUACUGGGACGCUUGAGUAUGGUAGAGGUUGGUGGAACUGCGAGUGUAGAGGUGAAAUUCGUAGAUAUUCGGAAGAACACCAGUGGCGAAGGCGGCUACUGGACAUGUAUUGACGCUGAGGUGCGAAAGCGUGGGGAGCAAACAGG
rnacentral:rRNA from 1 species